AUUGAACGCUGGCGGCAGGCCUAACACAUGCAAGUCGAGCGGCAGCGGGAAAGUAGCUUGCUACUUUUGCCGGCGAGCGGCGGACGGGUGAGUAAUGCCUGGGGAUCUGCCCAGUCGAGGGGGAUAACUACUGGAAACGGUAGCUAAUACCGCAUACGCCCUACGGGGGAAAGCAGGGGACCUUCGGGCCUUGCGCGAUUGGAUGAACCCAGGUGGGAUUAGCUAGUUGGUGAGGUAAUGGCUCACCAAGGCGACGAUCCCUAGCUGGUCUGAGAGGAUGAUCAGCCACACUGGAACUGAGACACGGUCCAGACUCCUACGGGAGGCAGCAGUGGGGAAUAUUGCACAAUGGGGGAAACCCUGAUGCAGCCAUGCCGCGUGUGUGAAGAAGGCCUUCGGGUUGUAAAGCACUUUCAGCGAGGAGGAAAGGUUGGUAGCUAAUAACUGCCAGCUG
rnacentral:rRNA from 1 species